UACGUAGGGGGCAAGCGUUGUCCGGAUUUAUUGGGCGUAAAGAGCGUGUAGGCGGCCAUACAGGUCCGUUGUGAAAACUGGAGGCUUAACCUCCAGACGUCGAUGGAAACCGUAUGGCUAGAGUCCGGAAGAGGAGAGUGGAAUUCCUGGUGUAGCGGUGAAAUGCGCAGAUAUCAGGAGGAACACCCGUGGCGAAAGCGGCUCUCUGGGACGGUACUGACGCUGAGACGCGAAAGCGUGGGGAGCAAACAGGAU
rnacentral:rRNA from 1 species